rnacentral:lncRNA from 1 species
UGAGCAUUCGGUACGGUUAACCGAAAACCGAACCGAAUAACCGAAAAAAAUUCGGUUCGGUUAACCGAAUUAAAUAUUUCGGUUCGGUUUUCGGUAGGGAAAAUGUCAAAAGUUCGGUUUUCGGUAUUUCGGUUAUUUAACCGCGGUUAACCGUUAACCGUUCGGUUAACCGGAUUUUAAUAUAUAUAUAUAUAUUAAUAUUUUAUAUUAUAAACAUAAAUACAUAUCUGUAUUAUUAAUUGGUAUAUACAUUACCUAUUUACUUUACUUUUACUCACAAACACUGAACUGAACACCGACGGCCAACACUUCCCUACUUCAAACUCGUUACUCGCCUGCGCAGCCCUAAACAACAAUCGAAGUAUCAGAACUCAGCAGUCAGAACUCAGCAGAUGCAAUGUAGCACUUCGACAGUGAGCGAGUCUGCCCUUAAUGCUUAGCAGAAGACAAGGAUUUGUGGUGUGUAACUGUGAUAAACUAAUUUGUGAUAUACUAAAUUUAGACUUAUGAAGUGUGUUGGUUUAAACUUUUUGUUUGAGUAAUCAUUCAUAACUUGUAAACUUUGGAUCUAGAUUUGUUUGUGUGUUCUGUUAUUCUAAAUUUUUUAAAAUUUCGGUUUUAAAUUUCGGUUUUCGGUAAUAACCGAAAUAUAAAUUUCGGUUCGGUUACAAAACCGAAUUAAAUUCGGUUCGGUUUUCGGUAGGGAUUUUUCAGGUAUUUCGGUUUCGGUUAACCGAAUUGUAAUUCGGUUCGGUUCGGUUUUUACCGAAUGCUCACCCCUA